GGAAGGUCCAGGCGUUAUCCGGAUUUAUUGGGUUUAAAGGGAGCGUAGGCCGUUUGGUAAGCGUGUUGUGAAAUGUCGGGGCUCAACCUGGGCAUUGCAGCGCGAACUGUCAGACUUGAGUGCGCAGGAAGUAGGCGGAAUUCGUCGUGUAGCGGUGAAAUGCUUAGAUAUGACGAAGAACUCCGAUUGCGAAGGCAGCCUGCUGUAGCGCAACUGACGCUGAAGCUCGAAAGCGUGGGUGUCGAACAGGAUUAGAUACCCUGGUAGUCCACGCGGUAAACGAUGGAUGCUCGCUGUUUGCGUCUGACGUAAGCGGCCAAGCGAAAGCGUUAAGCAUCCCACCUGGGGAGU
rnacentral:rRNA from 1 species